UUGAGUAUCAUCCAAGACACUUUGUGGGUUCUAUUUAGAUGAUCAGUCAACACAAGGGAAUGGCUUGAGAUACUUCCAACAGGUUCAAAUGGGGUCUAUUCGUCAGUCAAAACGUUAAUCGUGAAGGAGCAAAAGUUUGUUCAUGAACUGUCAUGCUCGCUAGGCGAAGCCCACGUGUUUAAAAAAAAAACGAAAAAAAACGAAAACGAAAAUAAAAUAAAAUAAAUAAAUAAAUAAAUAAAUAAAAUAUAAC
rnacentral:lncRNA from 1 species